AGUGAACGCUGGCGGUAGGCCUAACACAUGCAAGUCGAACGGCAGCACAGUAAGAGCUUGCUCUUACGGGUGGCGAGUGGCGGACGGGUGAGGAAUACAUCGGAAUCUACUUUUUCGUGGGGGAUAACGUAGGGAAACUUACGCUAAUACCGCAUACGACCUACGGGUGAAAGCAGGGGAUCUUCUGACCUUGCGCAAUUGAAUGAGCCGAUGUCGGAUUAGCUAGUUGGCGGGGUAAAGGCCCACCAAGGCGACGAUCGGUAGCUGGUCUGAGAGGAUGGUCAGCCACACUGGAACUGAGACACGGUCCAGACUCCUACGGGAGGCAGCAGUGGGGAAUAUUGGACAAUGGGCGGAAGCCUGAUCCAGCCAUACCGCGUGGGUGAAGAAGGCCUUCGGGUUGUAAAGCCCUUUUGUUGGGAAAGAAAAGCAGCAGGUUAAUACCCCGCUGUUCUGACGGUACCCAAAGAAUAAGCACCGGCUAACUUCGUG
rnacentral:rRNA from 1 species